rnacentral:tRNA from 1 species
UCCCUGGUGGCUCAAAUGGUAAAGAAUCUACCUGCAAUGCAGGAGACCCAGGUUCGAUCCCUGGGUGGGGAA